GAUGAACGCUGACGGCGUGCCUAAUACAUGCAAGUCGAGCGAACUGAUUAGAAGCUUGCUUCUAUGACGUUAGCGGCGGACGGGUGAGUAACACGUGGGCAACCUGCCUGUAAGACUGGGAUAACUUCGGGAAACCGAAGCUAAUACCGGAUAGGAUCUUCUCCUUCAUGGGAGAUGAUUGAAUGAUGGUUUCGGCUAUCACUUACAGAUGGGCCCGCGGUGCAUUAGCUAGUUGGUGAGGUAACGGCUCACCAAGGCAACGAUGCAUAGCCGACCUGAGAGGGUGAUCGGCCACACUGGGACUGAGACACGGCCCAGACUCCUACGGGAGGCAGCAGUAGGGAAUCUUCCGCAAUGGACGAAAGUCUGACGGAGCAACGCCGCGUGAGUGAUGAAGGCUUUCGGGUCGUAAAACUCUGUUGUUAGGGAAGAACAAGUACGAGAGUAACUGCUCGUACCUUGACGGUACCUAACCAGAAAGCCACGGCUAACUACGUGCCAGCCGCCGCAGUAAAAC
rnacentral:rRNA from 1 species